rnacentral:rRNA from 1 species
CGUUAGCGGCGGACGGGUGAGUAACACGUGGGUAACCUACCUAUAAGACUGGGAUAACUUCGGGAAACCGGAGCUAAUACCGGAUAAUAUUUCGAACCGCAUGGUUCGAUAGUGAAAGAUGGUUUUGCUAUCACUUAUAGAUGGACCUGCGCCGUAUUAGCUAGUUGGUAAGGUAACGGCUUACCAAGGCGACGAUACGUAGCCGACCUGAGAGGGUGAUCGGCCACACUGGAACUGAGACACGGUCCAGACUCCUCGGGAGGCAGCAGCG